CUGGCUUUUUGAAUAUUUCAGAGGGCCCCUGAAAUGUCCAGAAAAGAGAGAAAUUUGUGAAGUAAAAUAAAACCUGGAUAAAAUGGACUAAUGGAGUCAACCUGAAAAUGACAAGUAUUCUGCUGUUUAUUAUUAGACCAUGAGGUACCUAUUUCCCCACGGAGAACAUAUUUGAGACAUAUAUGAAAAUCGGAGGAGAUAAUGCACUCGCAGAGAACUUCUAAUCCUGUUCUACAAAAGUCCAAAGAAGGAGCAAAUAAUGCCAACUUCACUUUUCUUGUUUUCACAUCAAUAAAGACAUUGAUUUUAGUGUCACACUAGCACUGUAUUCUCUCCCAUAUUUUAAAUGUUAAUCAACCUGGGAUUAAUUGGUAGCUCCAAGUGAUAUCGAUCCAAG
rnacentral:lncRNA from 10 species